CAAUCUUGGCUCACUACAACUUCUGCCUCCUGGGUUCAAGCGGUUCUCCUGUCUCAGCUGAAUAACUUUUAUUAUUAGGGCAUGAGCAUGUAACCCAACCCCAGUGGAGGAGUUUAAAGAUCGCUGAGAGACUUCGUGUACAAACACAAGCAUUUGCUGAACAUGUUCCUGAAUUAAAUGUGAGGGACGGUUUGGGAAUUAGAAAUCUUCUGGGACAAUUUAUGAGUUUAAACAGCUAUCUGAAUCUGAAGUUUCUCCAGAGCAAUUCAAGUUGUUUCUCUCCUAGAGAAGGAACAAAAACGUAUAUGGGAUCUCAUUCUGUCGCCCAGGCUGGAGUGCAGUGG